rnacentral:rRNA from 1 species
AUUGAACGCUGGCGGCAGGCCUAACACAUGCAAGUCGAGCGAGCGGCGGACGGGUGAGUAAUGUAUGGGGACUGCACGAUAGAGGGGGAUAACUACUGGAAACGGUGGCUAAUACCGCAUACUAUCGGAUAACCCAUAUGGGAUUCGCUUGUAGGUGGGGUAAAGGCUCACCUAGGCGACGAUUUCUAGCUGUUCUGAGAGGAUGAUCAGCCACCAUGUGCCUGGUACACGGCUCAGCCUCAUACGGCGGCAUCAGUGGGGAAUAUUGCACAAGUGGCGCAAGUCUGAUGCAGCCAUGCCGCGUGGAUGAAUAAGGCCUUAGGGUUGUAAAGUACUUUCAGCGGGAAGGCGUUACCCGCAGAAGAAGCACCGGCUAACUCCGUGCCAGCAGCCGCGGUAAUAC